AUUGAACGCUGGCGGCAUGCCUUACACAUGCAAGUCGAACGGUAACGGGCCUUCGGGUGCCGACGAGUGGCGAACGGGUGAGUAAUACAUCGGAACGUGCCCGAUCGUGGGGGAUAACGAGGCGAAAGCUUUGCUAAUACCGCAUACGAUCUACGGAUGAAAGCAGGGGACCGCAAGGCCUUACGCGGACGGAGCGGCCGAUGGCAGAUUAGGUAGUUGGUGGGAUAAAAGCUUACCAAGCCGACGAUCUGUAGCUGGUCUGAGAGGAUGAUCAGCCACACUGGGACUGAGUCACGGCCCAGACUCCUACGGGAGGCAGCAGUGGGGAAUUUUGGACAAUGGGCGCAAGCCUGAUCCAGCCAUGCCGCGUGCAGGAUGAAGGCCUUCGGGUUGUAAACUGCUUUUGUACGGAACGAAAAGCCUUCUUUUAAUACAGGAGGGUCAUGACGGUACCGUAAGAAUAAGCACCGGCUAACUACGUG
rnacentral:rRNA from 1 species